GGUUAUAUAGUAUAGUAGUAGUAUAUAUAUAUCUUAUAUAGUUCUAUCUAUAUCUGAGGAUAUAGUUAGGAGUAUAUUUAUAUAAGGUUAUAGGUUUAAUUCCUACUAUAACUA